GAGACACAUGGCAAUUCGCCAAUGGAACCAUAGCCAGAUCGUGAGGAAAGUUUCGGAUGAAUCCGUCUAAGGACGAUAUGACGUACUAGAGGAGCUCCGCUACUACGUGCCAGCAGCGCGGUAAUACGUAGGAGCGAGCGUGUCGAUACUGGGUGUAAAGGAGCGUAGCGGACUGCAGUCAGAUGUGAAUGCCGGGCUACCCCGAGCUGCAUUUGAAACUGUGUCUGAGUGAAGUAGAGCAAGCGAAUUCCUGUGUAGCGGUGAAAUGCGUAGAUAUCAGGAGAACACCGGUGCGAAGGCGGCUUGCUGGGCUUUUACUGACGCUGAGGCUCGAAAGCGUGGGUAGCAAACAGGAUUAGAUACCCUGGUAGUCCACGCUGUAAACGAUGAUUACUAGGUGUGGGGGGACUGACCCCUUCCGUGCCGCAGUUAACACAAUAAGUAAUCCACCUGGGGAGUACGGCCGCAAGGUUGAAACUCAAAGGAAUUGACGGGGGCCCGCACAAGCAGUGGAGUAUGUGGUUUAAUUCGAAGCAACGCGAAGAACCUUACCAGAUCUUGACAUCCAACUGACCUAUAGGGUAAAGCCUAUAUCUCUUCGGAGCAGUUGAGACAGGUGGUGCAUGGUUGUCGUCAGCUCGUGUCGUGAGAUGUUGGGUUAAGUCCCGCAACGAGCGCAACCCUUGCCUUUAGUAGCCAGCACGUUAAGGUGGGCACUCUAGAGGGACUGCCAGGGAUAACCUGGAGGAAGGUGGGGAUGACGUCAAAUCAUCAUGCCCCUUAUGAUCUGGGCUACACACGUGCUACAAUGGCGUAAACAAAGGGAAGCAGAGUCGUGAGGCCGAGCAAAUCCCAAAAAUAACGUCUCAGUUCGGAUUGUAGUCUGCAACUCGACUACAUGAAGCUGGAAUCGCUAGUAAUCGCGAAUCAGAAUGUCGCGGUGAAUACGUUCCCGGGUCUUGUACACACCGCCCGUCACACCAUGGGAGUCGCGAAUGCCCAAAGCUGGUGACUUAACCGCAAGGAGAGAGCCAUCUAAGGCAGGCGUGGUAACUGGGGUGAAGUCGUAACAAGGUAAAUCACUGGCCGUCGUACCUCUAU
rnacentral:rRNA from 1 species